rnacentral:rRNA from 1 species
UACAGAGGGGGCAAGCGUUAUUCGGAAUUAUUGGGCGUAAAGGGCGCGUAGGCGGCUUUUCAAGUGACGGGUGAAAUCCCUCGGCUUAACCGAGGAACUGCCUGUCAGACUGGAAGGCUUGAGACCGGGAGAGGUGAGUGGAAUUCCCAGUGUAGCGGUGAAAUGCGUAGAUAUUGGGAGGAACACCAGUGGCGAAGGCGGCUCGCUGGACCGGAACUGACGCUGAGGCGCGAAAGCGUGGGGAGCAAACAGG